rnacentral:rRNA from 1 species
CCCUUAGACGUUCUGGGCCGCACGCGCGCUACACUGAAGGAAUCAGCACGUCUUUCUCCUUGUCCGAAAGGACUGGGUAACCCGCUGAACCUCCUUCGUGCUAGGGAUUGGGGCUUGUAAUUCUUCCCCAUGAACGAGGAAUUCCCAGUAAGCGCGAGUCAUAAGCUCGCGUUGAUUACGUCCCUGCCCUUUGUACACACCGCCCGUCGCUACUACCGAUUGGAUGGUUUAGUGAGAUCCUCGGAUUGGUCCCGGAGCGGCCUCUGGUCGUGCCGGAGUGCCGAAAAGAAUGUCGAACUUGAUCAUCUAGAGGAAGUAAAAGUCGUAACA